AACCCAUGCUUAGGACAUUUUCGUAGGAGAUCCUUGAACCUGUCCCAUGUCUCAAAAAGAGACUACAAUUCCAUUUUCACCAAAGAGUAUAUUUCAUUCCUGAGCUU